rnacentral:rRNA from 1 species
UCUACGGGCGGCAGCAGUGGGGAAUAUUGGACAAUGGGCGAAAGCCUGAUCCAGCCAUGCCGCGUGUGUGAAGAAGGCCUUCGGGUUGUAAAGCACUUUCAGUGGGGAAGAAAGCCUUGGGGCUAAUACCCUCGAGGAAGGACAUCACCCACAGAAGAAGCACCGGCUAACUCCGUGCCAGCAGCCGCGGUAAUACGGAGGGUGCGAGCGUUAAUCGGAAUUACUGGGCGUAAAGCGCGCGUAGGCGGUCUGAUAAGCCGGUUGUGAAAGCCCCGGGCUCAACCUGGGAACGGCAUCGGGAACUGUCAGGCUAGAGUGCAGGAGAGGAAGGUAGAAUUCCCGGUGUAGCGGUGAAAUGCGUAGAGAUCGGGAGGAAUACCAGUGGCGAAGGCGGCCUUCUGGACUGACACUGACGCUGAGGUGCGAAAGCGUGGGUAGCAAACAGGAUUAGAUACCCCAGUAGUC